UGAACGCUGGCGGCGUGCCUAAUACAUGCAAGUCGAGCGAACAGACGAGGAGCUUGCUCCUCUGAUGUUAGCGGCGGACGGGUGAGUAACACGUGGAUAACCUACCUAUAAGACUGGGAUAACUUCGGGAAACCGGAGCUAAUACCGGAUAACAUGUUGAACCGCAUGGUUCACCAGUGAAAGACGGUCUUGCUGUCACUUAUAGAUGGAUCCGCGCCGCAUUAGCUAGUUGGUAAGGUAACGGCUUACCAAGGCAACGAUGCGUAGCCGACCUGAGAGGGUGAUCGGCCACACUGGAACUGAGACACGGUCCAGACUCCUACGGGAGGCAGCAGUAGGGAAUCUUCCGCAAUGGGCGAAAGCCUGACGGAGCAACGCCGCGUGAGUGAAGAAGGUCUUCGGAUCGUAAAACUCUGUUAUUAGGGAAGAACAAAUGUGUAAGUAACUAUGCACGUCUUGACGGUACCUAAUCAGAAAGCCACGGCUAACUACGUG
rnacentral:rRNA from 1 species